rnacentral:tRNA from 1 species
GAGAAAUUAGUUUAAAUUAAAACAUUAACUUGUCAAGUUAAAAAUAUUUAUUAGAUACUUCUCC